CGUGUAGGCGGGUCUUUAAGUCAGGGGUGAAAUGCCAAGGCUCAACCUUGGAACUGCCUUUGAUACUGGAGAUCUUGAGUCCGGGAGAGGUGAGUGGAAUUGCGAGUGUAGAGGUGAAAUUCGUAGAUAUUCGCAAGAACACCAGUGGCGAAGGCGGCUCACUGGCCCGGAACUGACGCUGAGACGCGAAAGCGUGGGGAGCAAACA
rnacentral:rRNA from 1 species